rnacentral:lncRNA from 1 species
AUCCAUAAAAGCAUGCUGCACCUUUGGCACAGCGCGACUUCCCUGGCCCUCCCCCUGCGGACCAGUGAACCUCGCCCGAGGGCUCAAUAAAGAAGAUUUUUGCCCUCUUUUUCUCACCUCUCAGCCUUAUUGAUCCAUGGUGCCCUUCCAUUGCCUUUCAUUGGUGCCGAAACCCGGGAGGGGACACCUCCUAAGCCCCCCCAGAGGCUCAGGGGGACUCCCCUCCUGGUCGGAUCAGUCCUCUCCCUCAGUCAGGUCAGGCUUCUCCUCCACGGCCAUCUGUCCAUUUCGUCCGGUUACUUGCUGCCAGGUCGCAGUUGCUGCAGCUACUCCAGUCCAAUUCGGCCGACGCUAGAGACAAAUGAAGACACUCGACCAUCUCUAAAUGCUACCAAACACAUAGAGUCUACUCUGAAUGCAGAUACUGCUCUCAUAAAAAUUCUGCAAAGGAGGAAGGGGUUGGUGCAGAACUGUUCCGAUGCUGGAAAAUGGGAUGUCAUCAAAGCCCUUUGAGAAAAGGAGGGAUGUGAUCAGAUUUGUAAUUUUCAAAGAUUUCCUGAGGUGCUGUGAAUUUUACAGAUCAACUGAGAUGCAAAACCCAUGUUCACAUCAUGAGUGAGUCUUCUAACUCGGACAAUGCAAUCAACAAAUUCUAAGACCAAAUUCCGGUGGCACUGGCUCCAAAGCUCCUGAGUGUGGAAGGAGGUGAACAGGGAAAAGCAGAGAGGACAAAAGUCACAUCCCCUCCCCACAGACCCAUACUGGGGAAGGGUGGAAGAUUUAGCUGCGAGUCAAGUUCAGAAUUUUGAUUAACAUCUUGGCAUGCACAUUCGAAUUUCAGAAUCAAGACUGUUGGCCAUAAAAAAUGACUAUAGCCUUGUGUAUUACCUGAACUGAGCAGUAAAAAAAAAGUCAUGGUCCUUCUGGGGCUUUUAUUCUGAGACAGGAACCCUGAACAGGCAGGAGAAAGGGAAUGUUGACAGAGAAACAAAGACAGUUGGCGACACACGCUGACCGCCAUGCGGACGUCCAUCAAACCCAGCACUGGCCCUGGGUACGUGCGCCUUUGCUAUUACCCCAAUACAUUUUCUUCUGCAGAGCAAGCAACAGAACACAUGCAGACCUUAAUAAAUACCACUGGGUAAUGUGACAAUGGCCAAACUCUCCUCACGGGGGAGAGAGUGUCCCCCAGUUUUGCUCCCUUUUAAUUUCCAGGGUUCAUAAGUAGCUCUAAAGCUUUGCUCUACAAGGUUGAUACAUACGAUAUUAAUGUUUCCCCUAAGCAGUAUAACAUAAAUAUAUUUGCUAUCUUGAC